UACGUAGGGUGCAAGCGUUAAUCGGAAUUACUGGGCGUAAAGCGCAUGUAGGUGGAACAAUAAGUUUGAUGUGAAAGCCCUGGGCUUAACCUGGGAAUGGCGUUGAAGACUGUUGUUCUCGAGUUUGACAGAGGGUCGUGGAAUUUCCGGUGUAGCGGUGAAAUGCGUAGAGAUCGGAAAGAACACCAGUGGCGAAGGCGGCGACCUGGGUCAAAACUGACACUGAGGUGCGAAAGCGUGGGGAGCAAACAGG
rnacentral:rRNA from 1 species